GCCGGUUUAGCUCAGUGGUUAGAGCGUCAGCCCUGGAACUGAAGGGUCAUGGGUUCGAUUCCCGGUCAAGGGCA
rfam:Myotis davidii contig228249, whole genome shotgun sequence.